GCUAAAAUAACCUAUUCCCUCCAAUUCCUUCCGUCUAAGUUGUGAGAACUUCAAAAAAUACUUCAGAAAUAUAAAAUCUCUCAUCCCCUGUAAUGUUUUUCUCCCUAUGGUCGAUCCUCUAUCUCACCAUAACGCCACCAACCCCAGAAUGUUGUCUAGAUGGAUGACUGCUGGAAAGUUAGCAUGUCCUUACUGCAUGAAAAAUGGUAAAGCGUUCACUUUAAGACACGGCCGAAAGAAGUCAUGGUUUGAUUGUCAUCGUCUGUUCUUGCUAGUUGAUUAUGAGUUUCAGAAGGAUGAAGAACGCAUUCAAAAAGAAUACAGUUGAACGUGAUUUGCCACCUCCAAUUUUGUCCGGUGAGGAAAUUUGGAAGAGGGUUCAGAACUUCACUACUAAAGUUACCGAAGCCACACCUUCUAGAUUUUCUGGAUAUGGUGUUACUCAUAACUGGACAAAACAUAGCAUAUAUUGGGAGUUGCCAUAUUGGAAUGAUAAUCUUUCCCGACACAAUCUUGAUGUCAUGCAUAUUGAGAAGAACUAUUUUGACAAUUUGUUCAAUACAGUUACAAGAAUAUUGCAUGCGACCUAAAUUACAUUUGCAGUCUGCUAACAAUGGUAAGGUGUUCAAGCCCAAGGCCAGCUGCACAUUCACUUUGGAACAAAGAAGAUUUGUGAGUGGGUUGCAAACCUAAAGAUUCCCGAGGGCUAUGCUUCGAACAUGAGAAACGUGCCGAUAUGGUUGAAGGAAAGCUGACUCAUAUGAAAAGUCAUGACUGUCAUAUCUUCAUGGAAACCUUAAUCCAUAUUGCAUUUUGUGAUUUGCUUGAAAAUAUCUGGAAACCCAUCACAGAGAUAAGUUUGUUUUUCAAAGACUUAUGUUCUACCACAUUAAGGGAAGAAAACCUAUUUCAAAUGAAUCAGAACAUUUCUGUAAUCAGUAAUAAGCUGAAAAGGAUUUUUCCGUGUGGUUUCUUUGAUGUCAUGGAACACCUUCCAAUUUACCUUGUACACGAGGCGCGACUUGGAGGGCCGGUUCAAUGCAGGUGGAUAUAUCUAUUCGAGAGAUGAUCAGUAGGGGUCGAGGUAGGUUUAGGAAGAAUAAAGGGCCUAUUGAUCAUGAUAAUGGUGCUACACCCUCUCUUCCUUCCACUCCACACUUGCAUCCCUCCGCUACUGAUGGCCGGCAGCAAUCUUCUAAGCACACAUCUUUUCCACCAUAUCCAUCUACUCAUUAGACUACCUACCAUUUGUCCCCCAGCAGUAUUCUUACCAUUCUCCACCACAGGGCUAUACCCCGCUUCCUCCACAUGAUCCUGCAUAUAGUUACAUUGGUCCAUCGAGUCAACAGUCACAUGAUUAUGUGGUGAUACGUCCGUCAUCUGCUCCAUUUGCUUCAUCACUAGUUGGAUCACAUCCAUUUAGAUUUCAGCCAUCCGGAUCGCAGCUGGGGUCUGGAUCGCAACAGGGGUCUAGAUUGCAGUAGGGGUGUGGAUCGCAGCCAUUUUCAUCAGCGACCCCGACUCCCUCUCUACGGAGUUCAUCUCCUAGCAUUUAUGGACUUCGCUUUUGAGAUAGUAGCGCUGAGCCAGAUGCCUCCCCUUCCGCGCAUGCUUUAGAUUCAUCGGAGGAAGAUGAUCCAGAGGAUGUGCGGUAUGAUCGUUAUCAUAGGAUGAUCAUUAUUUAUUUAUUACUUCUUUGUUUUUGCUGAAUUAUAAUGGCUAGUCUUGUUUAUUUAAUAUAAUUUCUAUGUUGCAAGUUCAUACCUAAUCAUCGGACUACAAAGAUAAUCACUGAAAAUCUUGGCCGGUUGUAUGAUGCACCCUAUGCGACUUGGAGUGACUUUCCAUCGGAGCUUGUGGGGCAAAUUUUCAACCAAUUUAAGACUAAGUGUGCCUCGGAAGACCGGCAUAACAGUGCCAUUCUUGCAAAUUUUGAGUUCAAAUGCCGUAAAAGACUAUAUGAUUCCUUCAAUUCUGCUCGGAAGAAGAGCAAGAAGCCUUCAGGGGUUCUACCGCAUAUAUGGGAGGAUCUGUUGAGGCAAUGGACCACUGAGAAGUUCGAGAAGAAGAGUGAACAGGGAAAGAAAGCUCGAGCAUCUGAGAAGGGUGGCUCCUUGCACUGUGUGGGUGCAAGGAGCAUGGGGACUGCGAGGAGACUAUUGAUAAUUCCUUAAAAAAAUAAAUUCUAUUUUUAUCAAACUAUAUUUAUAUAUUUUAAUUUAGUUAAUAU